rnacentral:rRNA from 1 species
UACGGGGGGGGCAAGCGUUGUUCGGAAUUACUGGGCGUAAAGGGCUCGUAGGUGGCCAACUAAGUCAGACGUGAAAUCCCUCGGCUUAACCGGGGAACUGCGUCUGAUACUGGAUGGCUUGAGUUUGGGAGAGGGACGCGGAAUUCCAGGUGUAGCGGUGAAAUGCGUAGAUAUCUGGAGGAACACCUGCGGUGUAGACGGCUGGCUGGACCACUACUGACGCUGAGGCACGAAAGCGUGGGGAGCAAACAGG